AGUGUGCCAGUCAUCAGGCAGGGCAACAGGAACCCGUAGAUCCGAACUUGUGUGGGCAAUUCUCAAGCUCAGAUCUAGGGGUCUGUGUCGUCUCUGCAGUAGUCAACAAGCCAGA
rnacentral:precursor_RNA from 10 species